rnacentral:rRNA from 1 species
AUUGAACGCUGGCGGCAUGCCUUACACAUGCAAGUCGAACGGCAGCACGGGGGCAACCCUGGUGGCGAGUGGCGAACGGGUGAGUAAUGCAUCGGAACGUGUCCUCUUGUGGGGGAUAACCAGUCGAAAGAUUGGCUAAUACCGCAUGAGAUCGCAAGAUGAAAGCGGGGGACCGCAAGGCCUCGCGCGAGAGGAGCGGCCGAUGCCGGAUUAGCUAGUUGGUGGGGUAAAAGCCUACCAAGGCGACAAUCCGUAACUGGUCUGAGAGGACGACCAUCCACACUGGGACUGAGCCACGGCCCAUACUCCUACGGGAGUCAGCAGUGGGGAAUUUUGGACAAUGGGCGCAAGCCUGAUCAAGCCAUGCCGCGUGUGUGAAGAAGGCCUUCGGGUUGUAAAGCACUUUCGGACGGAACGAAAUCGCGCGGACGAACAUUCCGCGUGGAUGACGGUACCGUAAGAAGAAGCACCGGCUAACUACGUGCCAGCAGCCGCGGUAA